GACGAACGCUGGCGGCGUGCCUAAUACAUGCAAGUUGAGCGCUGAAGGUUGGUACUUGUACCGACUGGAUGAGCAGCGAACGGGUGAGUAACGCGUGGGGAAUCUGCCUUUGAGCGGGGGACAACAUUUGGAAACGAAUGCUAAUACCGCAUAAAAACUUUAAACACAAGUUUUAAGUUUGAAAGAUGCAAUUGCAUCACUCAAAGAUGAUCCCGCGUUGUAUUAGCUAGUUGGUGAGGUAAAGGCUCACCAAGGCGAUGAUACAUAGUCGACCUGAGAGGGUGGUCGGCCACAUUGGGACUGAGACACGGCCCAAACUCCUACGGGAGGCAGCAGUAGGGAAUCUUCGGCAAUGGACGAAAGUCUGACCGAGCAACGCCGCGUGAGUGAAGAAGGUUUUCGGAUCGUAAAACUCGGUUGGUAGAGAAGAACGUUGGUGAGAGUGGAAAGCUCAUCAAGUGACGGUAACUACCCAGAAAGGGACGGCUAACUACGUG
rnacentral:rRNA from 1 species